rnacentral:rRNA from 1 species
AAUAACCUCGGGAAACUGAGUAUAAUGCCCGAUAGAACACUAUACCUGGAAUGGUUUGUGUUCCAAAUGAUUUAUCGCCGUAGGAUGGGACUGCGGCCUAUCAGUUUGUUGGUGAGGUAAUGGCCCACCAAGACUAUUACAGGUACGGGCUCUGAGAGGAGUAGCCCGGAGAUGGGUACUGAGACACGGACCCAGGCCCUAUGGGGCGCAGCAGGCGAGAAAACUUUGCAAUGUGCGAAAGCACGACAAGGUUAAUCCGAGUGAUUUCUGCUAAAGGAAUCUUUUACCAGUUCUAAAAAUACUGGCGAAUAAGGGGUGGGCAAGUUCUGGUGUCAGCCGCCGCGGUAAAACCAGCACCUCAAGUGGUCAGGAGGAUUAUUGGGCCUAAAGCAUCCGUAGCCGGCUCUGUAAGUUUUCGGUUAAAUCUAUACGCUCAACGUAUAGGCCGCCGAAAAUACUGCACAGCUAGGGAAUGGGAGAGGUAGACGGUACUCGGUAGGAAGGGGUAAAAUCCUUUGAUCUAUCGAUGACCACCUGUGGCGAAGGCGGUCUACCAGAACAUGUUCGACGGUGAGGGAUGAAAGCUGGGGGAGCAAACCGGAUUAGAUACCCGGGUAGUCCCAGCUGUAAACGAUGCAGACUCGAUAAUGCAUUGGCACAUAGCCAGUGCAGUGUCGCAGGGAAGCCGUUAAGUCUGCCGCCUGGGAAGUACGUACGCAAGUAUGAAACUUAAAGGAAUUGGCGGG